CCUACGGGCGGCAGCAGUGGGGAAUAUUGGACAAUGGGGGCAACCCUGAUCCAGCCAUGCCGCGUGUGUGAAGAAGGCCCUCGGGUUGUAAAGCACUUUCAGUGAGGAAGAACGCCUGGUGGUUAAUACCCAUCAGGAAAGACAUCACUCACAGAAGAAGCACCGGCUAACUCCGUGCCAGCAGCCGCGGUAAUACGGAGGGUGCGAGCGUUAAUCGGAAUUACUGGGCGUAAAGCGCGCGUAGGUGGCUUGAUAAGCCGGUUGUGAAAGCCCCGGGCUCAACCUGGGAACGGCAUCCGGAACUGGCAAGCUAGAGUGCAGGUGAGGAAGGUAGAAUUCCCGGUGUAGCGGUGAAAUGCGUAGAGAUCGGGAGGAAUACCAGUGGCGAAGGCGGCCUUCUGGACUGACACUGACACUGAGGUGCGAAAGCGUGGGUAGCAAACAGGAUUAGAUACCCUUGUAGUC
rnacentral:rRNA from 1 species